rnacentral:rRNA from 1 species
CCAGAGAAUUUAGCAGAGAUGCUUUAGUGCCUUCGGGAACUCUGAGACAGGUGCUGCAUGGCUGUCGUCAGCUCGUGUUGUGAAAUGUUGGGUUAAGUCCCGCAACGAGCGCAACCCUUAUCCUUUGUUGCCAGCACGUAAUGGUGGGAACUCAAAGGAGACUGCCGGUGAUAAACCGGAGGAAGGUGGGGAUGACGUCAAGUCAUCAUGGCCCUUACGAGUAGGGCUACACACGUGCUACAAUGGCGCAUACAAAGAGAAGCGACCUCGCGAGAGCAAGCGGACCUCAUAAAGUGCGUCGUAGUCCGGAUUGGAGUCUGCAACUCGACUCCAUGAAGUCGGAAUCGCUAGUAAUCGUAAAUCAGAAUGUUACGGUGAAUACGUUCCCGGGCCUUGUACACACCGCCCGUCACACCAUGGGAGUGGGUUGCAAAAGAAGUAGAUAGCUUAACCUUCGGGAGGGCGCUUACCACUUUGUGAUUCAUGACUGGGGUGAAGUCGUAACAAGGUAAGCGUAGUGCU